CAGCAGCCGCGGUAAUACGGAGGACGCAAGCGUUAUCCGGAUUUAUUGGGUUUAAAGGGUGCGUAGGCGGGAGAUUAAGUCAGUGGUGAAAUCCUACAGCUUAACUGUAGAACUGCCAUUGAUACUGGUUUUCUUGAGUAUAGUUGAAGUGGGCGGAAUGUGUAUUGUAGCGGUGAAAUGCUUAGAUAUUACACAGAACACCUAUUGCGAAGGCAGCUCACUAAACUAAUACUGACGCUGAGGCACGAAAGCGUGGGGAGCAAACAGGAUUAGAUACCCUGGUAGUCCACGCCGUAAACGUUGAUUACUCGAUGUGUGCGAUACACUGUACGCGUCUGAGCGAAAGCAUUAAGUAAUCCACCUGGGGAGUACGAUCGCAAGAUUGAAACUCAAAGGAAUUGACGGGGGCCCGCACAAGCCGUUGAGCAUGUGGUUUAAUUCGAUGAUACGCGAGGAACCUUACCAGGGCUUAAAUGCAUAUUGACGGGGUGGAGAUCCUUUUCCUUCGGGCAUUUGCAAGGUGCUGCAUGGUUGUCGUCAGCUCGUGCCGUGAGGUGUCAGGUUAAGUCCUAUAACGAGCGCAACCCCUACCGUUAGUUGCCAGCAUGUCAUGAUGGGGACUCUAACGGGACUGCCGGUGCAAACCGUGAGGAAGGUGGGGAUGACGUCAAAUCAUCACGGCCCUUACGUCCUGGGCCACACACGUGCUACAAUGGCAGGUACAGAGAGCAGCCAUGUCGCAAGGCAGAGCGAAUCUACAAAACCUGUCACAGUUCGGAUCGGGGUCUGCAACUCGACCCCGUGAAGCUGGAAUCGCUAGUAAUCGGAUAUCAGCCAUGAUCCGGUGAAUACGUUCCCGGGCCUUGUACACACCGCCCGUCAAGCCAUGGAAGCCGGGAGUGCCUGAAGUCCGUCACCGUAAGGAGCGGCCUAGGGCAAGAUCGGUAACUAGGGCUAAGUCGUAACAAGGUAUCCGUA
rnacentral:rRNA from 1 species